rnacentral:rRNA from 1 species
AGGGUUUGAUCAUGGCUCAGAACGUACGCUGGCGGCACGCCUAAUACAUGCAAGUCGAACGAAGUAGCAAUACUUAGUGGCAGACGGGUGAGUAACAUGUAGGUAUCUUCCCUUUGGUGAGGAAUAACACGAGGAAACUUGUGCUAAUACCUCAUAAGUCUUUACGGAGAAAGCUUUAUGCGCCAAUGGAUGAGCCUGCACUUGAUUAGUUUGUUGGUGGGGUAAUGGCCUACCAAGACAAUGAUCAAUAGCUGAUUUGAGAGGAUGAUCAGCCACAUUGGGACUGAGACACGGCCCAAACUCCUACGGGAGGCAGCAGUAGGGAAUCUUGCACAAUGGGGGAAACCCUGAUGCAGCGAUGCCGCGUGAGUGAAGAAGGCCUUUGGGUUGUAAAGCUCUUUCGUCGGGGAAGAAAAUGACUGUACCCGAAUAAGAAGGUCCGGCUAACUUCGUGCCAGCAGCCGCGGUAAUACGAAGGGACCUAGCGUAGUUCGGAAUUACUGGGCUUAAAGAGUUCGUAGGUGGUUAAAAAAGUUGGUGGUGAAAUCCCAGAGCUUAACUCUGGAACUGCCAUCAAAACUUUUUAGCUAGAGUAUGAUAGAGGAAAGCAGAAUUUCUAGUGUAGAGGUGAAAUUCGUAGAUAUUAGAAAGAAUACCAAUUGCGAAGGCAGCUUUCUGGAUCAUUACUGACACUGAGGAACGAAAGCAUGGGUAGCGAAGAGGAUUAGAUACCCUCGUAGUCCAUGCCGUAAACGAUGUGUGUUAGACGUUGGAAAUUUAUUUUCAGUGUCGCAGCGAAAGCAAUAAACACACCGCCUGGGGAGUACGACCGCAAGGUUAAAACUCAAAUGAAUUGACGGGGACCCGCACAAGUAGUGGAGCAUGUGGUUUAAUUCGAAGAUACGCGCAGAACCUUACCAACACUUGACAUGUUCGUCGCGACUUUAAGAGAUUAAAGUUUUCGGUUCGGCCGGACGAAACACAGGUGCUGCAUGGCUGUCGUCAGCUCGUGUCGUGAGAUGUUGGGUUAAGUCCCGCAACGAGCGCAACCCUCACUUUUAGUUGCCAUCAUUUAGUUGGGCACUCUGAAAGAACUGCCAGUGAUAAGCUGGAGGAAGGUGGGGAUGACGUCAAGUCCUCAUGGCCCUUACGUGUUGGGCUACACACGUGCUACAAUGGCAUUUACAAUAGGAAGCAAAACGGCGACGUUAAGCAAAUCCUAAAAAAAUGCCUCAGUUCGGAUUGUACUCUGCAACUCGAGUACAUGAAGCUGGAAUUACUAGUAAUCGCGGAUCAGCGCGCCGCGGUGAAUACGUUCCCGGGUCUUGUACACACCGCCCGUCACACCAUGGGAGUUGGUUCUACCUUAAGGCAAAGGUUAAAAACUUUGACCACGGUAUAGUCAGCGACUGGGGUGAAGUCGUAACAAGGUAGCCGUA